rnacentral:rRNA from 1 species
GAUGAACGCUGGCGGCGUGCCUAAUACAUGCAAGUCGAGCGAACGGACGAGAAGCUUGCUUCUCUGAUGUUAGCGGCGGACGGGUGAGUAACACGUGGAUAACCUACCUAUAAGACUGGGAUAACUUCGGGAAACCGGAGCUAAUACCGGAUGAUAUUUUGAACCGCAUGGUUCAAAAGUGAAAGACGGUCUUGCUGUCACUUAUAGAUGGAUCCGCGCUGCAUUAGCUAGUUGGUAAGGUAACGGCUUACCAAGGCAACGAUGCAUAGCCGACCUGAGAGGGUGAUCGGCCACACCGGAACUGAGACACGGUCCAGACUCCUACGGGAGGCAGCAGUAGGGAAUCUUCCACAAUGGGCGAAAGCCUGACGGAGCAACGCCGCGUGAGUGAUGAAGGUCUUCGGAUCGUAAAACUCUGUUAUUAGGGAAGAACAUAUGUGUAAGUAACUGUGCACAUCUUGACGGUACCUAAUCAGAAAGCCACGGCUAACUACGUG